rnacentral:rRNA from 1 species
GUUGAACGCUGGCGGCAGGCUUAACACAUGCAAGUCGAGCGGAGAUGAGGUGCUUGCACCUUAUCUUAGCGGCGGACGGGUGAGUAAUGCUUAGGAAUCUGCCUAUUAGUGGGGGACAACAUUCCGAAAGGAAUGCUAAUACCGCAUACGUCCUACGGGAGAAAGCAGGGGAUCUUCGGACCUUGCGCUAAUAGAUGAGCCUAAGUCGGAUUAGCUAGUUGGUGGGGUAAAGGCCUACCAAAGCGACGAUCUGUAGCGGGUCUGAGAGGAUGAUCCGCCACACUGGGACUGAGACACGGCCCAGACUCCUACGGGAGGCAGCAGUGGGGAAUAUUGGACAAGGGGGGGAACCCUGAUCCAGCCAUGCCGCGUGUGUGAAGAAGGCCUUAUGGUUGUAAAGCACUUUAAGCGAGGAGGAGGCUACUGAGACUAAUACUCUUGGAUAGUGGACGUUACUCGCAGAAUAAGCACCGGCUAACUCUGUGCCAGCAGCCGCCGUAACAC